GUACCAGAAAGUCCAUCAGAUUACAGUCAGGUUUCACCUCUGUGGAUUUCAUCAAUGAAGUCAAAAACAAGUUUGGGCUUCCUGAUGCCACUGAACUUGACAUUUUUGAUGAAGCCGACACAGCAGUGGAUGAAGACGUCUUUCUUGAGCUGAUAGAGGCCAAUCCGGACUUAUGCCUGAUAGUACGUGACAGCAUUUCACAAGGAGUGGUGGAAGAUGUAAUUCUUGAAGUGACAGAUGACGAGGUCAGUCCUGACAGCGUUUCAGAGCGAGGU